AGUACUGGUCUAAACCAGGAUGGUGGUUAAAGAUCUCCGAGGAAUUCUAUGGGAAGAGGAACAAAGCAAAGAAAGUUUUGUUUAAAACCCUCGAUGACCUAAUAACACUCUACCCAUUGUCGGAGGGUUCCAUGGAGCUCAGUGACAGGAGAGCUUUUUUCAGCCUCAUCAAGGCCUCCUGGAGAUGGACCCAGACAAAAGGCUCACCCCAGAGGAAGCACUGUCGCACCCCUUCCUCACGAUGUCCCAAAUAUUGGAACAGGCAGAACCAUAGUGAGUAACUGAGUUUUGGUUUCAGUACAGAUAUUGAAUGAAGAGAAAAAAAGUGUUAACUGAUUAAGUGAUCCUCUAAUGUGUUGUUGUGUUUUAUUCAGUUUAUUUACUUCUCUGUCCAAAAUGGGCAAUUUGGGAAUGGAAGAGGACGACAGUC